UCAUGAAAGCCGGUUGUACCCGAAGUCGUCGUGCCAACUGCAAAGAGGCAGAUGCCGAAGGUAUGGCUGGUGAUUGGGAUG
rnacentral:rRNA from 1 species